rnacentral:rRNA from 1 species
GGGUCAGUAGGUUGGUCGUGCCACCGGUACGUACUGGUCUCACUGAUUCCUCCUUCCUGAAGAACCGUAAUGCCAUUAAUUUGGUGUUGCGGGGAGACAGGACUGUUACUUUGAAAAAAUUAGAGUGAUUAAAGCAAGCUAACGCUUGAAUACAUUAGCAUGGAAUAAUGGAAUAGGACGAUCGAUCCUAUUUUGUUGGUUUCUAGGAUUGACGUA